CCGGUUCAUACCUCUGCAUUACAUUGCAAUGUAUUUAUCAAAUAUAUAAACGCAUGUCUACCAUAGGAAGGUACACUUCGUUUCAUUUAACACGGACCUUUUUUACUGGAAAAAAAACAACAUCUGUUACUUAAAUAAGGAUGGUGCAUACUUCAAUGAAGCUUCUUUUGGUAAUUUAUACCAUUUUGAUUUAUGUCACUGUUUAUUGUAAACAGCUGUCUGGAACAUUCAAAUACCAAAAUACUGCAUGCAAAUGGACUGAAAUAAAAAUAACGUCUGGAAAGAGUAACCGACAAUUAAGCCUUAAAUGUGAGUCUACGAACCCAAAACUGUUCUGUAAAUACGAGGGUAACCCACACCCGUGUAAGGCUUACAAUAAAGCGCAAGCAAAAUACUAUCAGUGCUUAGCAGAUACAUUGGCAGGCAUCGGUCACCUCUGUAACAUGAGUCAGGAUGAGACCAAGAAUGUCUCAUGCGCUAAAAUGUGCGAGGAUAUCGUAUUCGAAAGAAUGCCAACUGGUACAGAAAAUGUUAGAGAAAAUGAAGAAUCGCUUGAAAUAUUUUUGAACGAAGAAGAGGAUGGAGAAAAUGGAGAUCACAUAAAGAGCAGAGACGAAAAUUACAAAGAGCAAGAGGACACUGGAGAGCACAUACAGAACAGGGAGCAUGAGGAUCUUUAAAAUUUGUUGACAGUUUAUAUAAUACAAACAUUUCAAGCAUAAUUUAAAAGCAAAUUCAUAGAUAUCCGUUAAAAGAUCAACAUUAUAGCAAUGUUUAGCAUAUACUUAACUUUCUUAAAAACGCAAGUUUGAUAUGAAGUUGUAGAUUUACGUAUAGUAUUGUAGUUCUUUAAACGAAACAUUACCACAGCAAUUAGCAUUUAGAAACAAUUCGUUGAUACGUGUUUGAUAUUCAAUUCCGUACAGAAAAAAUUGCAUCAUUGUUAUAGAUAUAGUACUAGAGAUCAAUCAAUAACACAAAUAAUAAUCCCGCCUGGCUUUUACCUAUACACCUGUGUGACACAAGUUAAAAGGAAAAAUGAAUUAACUGUAUGGUUAAAAACUUGAUGAUAAGUCAUUCAAUUGUAAUGUCAAUUUUCAAGGUAAAUACUGAAGAGUUUCUAUUCAAAUAAAAUCAUGAUUUAAAUUCAGA
rnacentral:lncRNA from 1 species